rnacentral:rRNA from 1 species
UACGGGGGGGGUAAGCGUUGUUCGGAAUUACUGGGCGUAAAGGGCUCGUAGGCGGCCAACUAAGUCAUACGUGAAAUCCCUCAGCUUAACUGGGGAACUGCGUGUGAUACUGGAUGGCUUGGAUUUGGGAGAGGGAUGCGGAAUUCCAGGUGUAGCGGUGAAAUGCGUAGAUAUCUGGAGGAACACCGGUGGCGAAGGCGGAUCUCUGGGCCUGUUCUGACGCUGAGGCGCGAAAGCUAGGGGAGCGAACAGG